rnacentral:rRNA from 1 species
GAUGAACGCUGGCGGCGUGCCUAAUACAUGCAAGUCGAGCGAACAGACGAGGAGCUUGCUCCUCUGACGUUAGCGGCGGACGGGUGAGUAACACGUGGAUAACCUACCUAUAAGACUGGGAUAACUUCGGGAAACCGGAGCUAAUACCGGAUAAUAUAUUGAACCGCAUGGUUCAAUCGUUAAAGACGGUUUUGCUGUCACUUCUAGAUGGAUCCGCGCCGCAUUAGCUAGUUGGUAAGGUAACGGCUUACCAAGGCAACGAUGCGUAGCCGACCUGAGAGGGUGAUCGGCCACACUGGAACUGAGACACGGUCCAGACUCCUACGGGAGGCAGCAGUAGGGAAUCUUCCGCAAUGGGCGAAAGCCUGACGGAGCAACGCCGCGUGAGUGAUGAAGGUCUUCGGAUCGUAAAACUCUGUUAUUAGGGAAGAACAAAUGUGUAAGUAACUAUGCACGUCUUGACGGUACCUAAUCAGAAAGCCACGGCUAACUACGUG